GGAUGUGAGGGCGAUCUGGCUGCGACAUCUGUCACCCCAUUGAUCGCCAGGGUUGAUUCGGCUGAUCUGGCUGGCUUGGCAGGUGUCCCCUUUCUCCCUCACCCCUCCAUGUGCGUCCCUCCAGAAGCUAGCUGCAUGCUCAGUCGAAGAGGACGGCCUUCCCCGAAUAGAGAUGGACCGGUCUUUAGUUGAGGGUAUAUGAGUAGCUGCACUCCCCUGCUAGAACCUCCAAACAAGCUCUCAACUAUGUCCCUGUAAUCUUAUAACUAAAUCACUAAUAAAAAUAAAAGAUGGGCAAAGGUUCAUGAGGCCUGCUUUAUUGC
rnacentral:snRNA from 1 species